rnacentral:lncRNA from 1 species
GGACAAUGCUUAGCAUACCAUGGGAUCACUUGAUCCCUCUCGGUACAUCUUGUACGCUUUGUGUGUUGAUCAUCUUGAUUUACUCUUUGUCUGAGAUCUUGAUCAACCAUGUGUCUCUAUGACCAUUCUUUGGAUAAUACCUUGAAUACCAUCUUGGUCAUCAUAUAAACUCCUUGAUCCCAACAGAUGGACUUCAAGAAGUGCCUAUGGACAAAUCCUAUAAAUGUAACUUAAGGCAACCAUUAGUCCAUAGGAAUUGUCAUCAAUUACCAAAACCACAUAUGGAGAUAUAUGCUCUAACAGCAGGGUUAAGCAGUGCCGAUGGCACGAAUCUAUGUCCUGUGUCACAGAAGACGUCGGAGCCUGACGAAGCAUUUAAUGCGUCUGCCCUGCGCAUCAGUAAGCACAAUAAGCACUGUGCACCCCAUGGGCGCACUGUUCACCACUAUUGGUGACCCCUUUGGCAUAUAAAAGGAGGCCCAAGGCGUAGCGUAAAGGGGCAUCUAGCAUCCAUCUAUUCCGGAGGCGAUCUCUAGGGUUUUAGACUCUCAAUACGUAGCUGCUGUGAACCGCAUAGUGCUCCCAUAGCCAGAACCCUAGAACACUCAAUACACAUAAAGCAGAAGUAUGGUUUUACGCUUCUCAACGGCCUGAACCUGGGAAAAACUCCCCUCGCGCUUGAUCGUUGGCUUUGCUCUUUGUGCAAUCCUCUCCCCCGCCGAACCGUAAAGGGAUCCACACGACCCCAUAGGUGUCGCGCUUCGUUGCCCCGACAUCUUUGGCGCGCAAGGUAGGGGGAAUAGGUUGCGCUAACCUAACUUAGUAGUCAGCGCAUCAAUUUCUUCAUCGUAUUCAUCGCCAUGGCUCCCAAGAGGAGGGGUUCAACGGCGACUGAUCCAUUCGCGUACGAUAUGCUUGCGGUUGCACAGGCAGGCGACGGUAUGGACGCGGGCGUAAGAGGCGGAGGUCUUGAGCCUCCACGAUAUGCUGGCAACCAAAGCGAGGUGAGCGGUGUCAUUCGCACCCACAGCAACGACCCGCGCGCCGGUGGGUCUAAGGACGGAGCUAUGCGGCCUACGGGCGGCGUAGCAAACUCCAAGGACGAAGGGGCGCCUUCUAAGGCACCCACACCGACACAUACACCGUGGCCUUCCCAGGCCGCACGUGACGAGCGGCGCCGCGAUGACGGUGGUUCCCAGCAUCCCUGAGGGAAGACUCCUGAGCAUCAUUCUCGGGAUAUGCAAGGCCAACAUGCACGUCGAGAAGCUGGUGGAAGCGGUGUGCGAUUGAGGGACCAUGUCACACCCCAAAAAUUAAAAUAUAUUUCUGAAAUAAAAUAUUGCCUAGAACAAAAAUUUUGAGAAAUAAAUUGAUCCAUGACUCUUCUCUAAGCCUCUUUAGAAAAACUUUUCCUUCAAGUGGCAUUUCAAAGAUCAUUUAGUGCUUGAGACUUUUUUUAAUUUCUUUACUUAACUAAAUGUGGAUAGUAUUUUGGCCAUUUCUAUUUAAAAUCUGAUUUCCUGGGUUUUCGAUCAAUCUUUGAAACACUCCUUUUUCCUUUAUAAAGAUGCUUUCCCUAAGUGAAUGUUUUUGAAAAUUUAUGUUGGAACCUGAAUACUUGCAUCAAUACAUUUCUUUUCUUCUAGCAGUUUCGUGAGAGAUUUUAUUUAAUAUUUUGCCAAGGUUUCUUUUAUUCAUAAAUGACUUAUAUUUUCUUUAAGGGCAUGUUUUGCACUACAACCUUGUGAUCACUUCUUCUAAAAAUUCUAUAAAAACUUGAAGAUGACGUGUGAUGUCCCUGGAUCAUAUUUUUGCGAAAACUUAGCCAAGUGUUUUGAAAUAUUUAAGCACAUUAACUUAUUUUCUAAUCUGGUCCAGAUUUGAGUUUGUACUACAACCCUUGGAAAUAAUCUUUCAAAAAUUCUACAAAAAUUUGGGGAUGUCAAGUGAUGCAUGAGAUUCACUUUUAUGCAAAAAAAAACCCAACCUUGUGCUUUGAAAUUCUUUAGCAAAACAACCAUCUUUCUGUUCUGGUCUAGUUUGGUACUUUGCACUACAACCAUAUUUUUCCUUGCUCUAUUUGCUUUGAUAUUUUGCAUGCUUGUAUGGCACCCAACCAAAACCUUAACCCUAGGAGUUGAGCCCCAUUGGAUGAUUUUAAGUGCAUGUGAUUUUAGCUUCAAGUUUCUGUCCAGAAUAGGUUUUCUCCAAGAGUUGCACUAACCAAUUUCUUCUUUUCUCCAACUAACCCUACCACCAUUGAUAACACCUAGGGAGGGUAUGAUCUGGAGUUUUUGGGUUACAGAGAAGAUCAUUCGGAGCCUCUGGCAUUUCAUCAAGUACUUAUGGAGCAUGUCGAGAUUUGGCAUGGCUUUGAACCUGCAUUGUGGAGUUGCCUCCCCAGCAAGACCCUCAUGUCCAAUAGCUUUACCUUACCAUCUAACCCACCCUGUUAACUGUUAGCUGCAGCAGAUCAUGGUAGACCACCCCAGCAUUUCAUCGAGCACCUGAUGAGUAUGCUCUGGAUGCGCCAGAGCGCGCAAAUGGGUGCGAGCACGCCCGAGUCACCGCAUCCCUGGCCUUGCCCUUUUACGAACCGUAGAGUCGCAUCGUGCCGCGUCAACCCCCCACCCGACCGAUAGUCGCCGUCGCUGUGCCCUGCAGCGCCGCCACCAGUGCCCCUCCUGGCAGCUAGCUAUUGGCCACCUCCGCAAUAGCAGUAACCGCACCGCCCAAGCAACCCCAGCCAGCCAGCUGCCCCUGGACCACCUCCCCUGCACCCUGUGCUUGCUGCCCCGCUGCCCUGCUGCCGUUGCUGCAGUGCUAGCCGUCCCCGCUGCCCCCUGUCAACUUCUGAAGCUCUAUCUCCGACGAGCUUAUCCGCAACAGCCCCGCAAACCGACAUGAGCCGGCUAUAAAUGGAGUCCUCGAGCUCCUUUGAGCAGCCAGCCCCUUCCCCUAGACCCUCAGAACCCUCCCCUCGCUUCAAUUUAGCCAGAGCUGCUCCCCUGCUCCUAUGUGACAGUAGCGUCGCUGUCGGCGUUCGACACGAUUCAGGAAGCCCGAGCCCCAUCGUUCUCCUCUCCCUACCCUGCUAGCCUCUCUGAAGCCCCAGGAACCCAUUCCCGGUGUUGCCUCGAGCCAUUAGCACCGUAGGCCGAAGCUACGGUCGCUGGAGUUCCCAGGCCGCCGUGGACAGAGGGCACUCGCCCCCGAGCCCCUCCGCGACUCAGGUGCCUCCUGAGGAUGGGGCUCUCAUCCUAUAACUCGUCGGCGUGCUCAGCUCCGGGAGCAGAGCCCCUAGCGUUGACAAGCAUCAUCGGAACCGCCGUUGCUCCGUGUCUAGUGCACCUAGGAGGUAGAAGAGGAACCCAACAGGCGGGUCUCGCCUGUCGGCGAGCCAGCCCUGAGUGGUGCAGUUCCCCCUGGUACGCUUCCCUGCCGGAUAGGCGUAUUCUUAGUUUUUUUAGGUAAAUACGUUUCCUCUGCGGGAAAGCAUACUCUGCCCGAAACGUUUUCUUUAUAUUUGAUUUUAAAAACAGAGUUUGACCAGAUCUUUGACUAGCUAUAACUUUUAAAAUAUAACUCCAAAUGGAGUGAUUCUUUUUUCCUACCACUUUCUAAAUGCCUCUAGUUUAUUUACUUAUUUCUAAAAUAUUCAAACAACUUUUGUGCGCUAUUUUAUAUUUGUGUGUUAAUUCAAAUAAUUUUUAAAAUAGGAUUUUGAAGAGAGCAUACCUACUCCAAGAUGUUGGGGUACACAUCACCCUCCGCAAACUCCAAAGGCAAGCAUCUUGAAUCCAAAUUUGCAUAAAGUUGUGUGAUGUUUGUGGUGGUGCAUAUACUGCGUGAUUGUAGAUUAUGAUAAAUAAAAUCUCGCAUGAAAUAAUACCUUGCAUAAGAGCAUGUGAUGGAUAUUGUUGUUGCGAAGUUGUGGAAGGCAAGUGGUGAGUGGUUACUGCCUCAUGCUUUGUAUGCUACGUUUGUCUGGACAACCUCGGAGUAAGGUGUGUCUGGUGGAAAUAAGACCAUAGGCUGACACCUCGUGGGACGAGAGUGGUCAGUGAAAGCAUGUCGGGGUGUGAUGGUGGUAACCCUGAGAUAAUCUCUUCAGCAAGAUUGUGUGGUAUAACCAUUGCAGGAAAAAUAUUAAACCUCCCAAGUCGACCGUAAAUCGAGUCUUGUUUGUGUGUCACCUUACCCUUCGUGCUACCACGGGUCUUCCCGAAAGGGGAUACGGUCUAGUAGGUCGUAAAUCUAUUACCAGGUACACACCAAGUAGAGAGGCCGGGAUGAAGGUAUCCAGGGCCCUGGACUAAAUCUAGUCAUCCGGUCAGGGGGCACGGGUGUUUUUGGUCCGGGACCGAGAGGGAAUGGCCCUUCCCUAUUAGUGCGCGGUAUAAAUUUGAUCCCAUGCUAGUCGAGGUCGGAGCCUCCCCGUCUUAUGGUUUUUCCCUCGCAACGUAGUUUGGGUGAAGCCGGGCUUCGCGAGGGGUAAAAAUGGGCGUGUACUGGUUCUGAGAGCUUACUUCUAAAAUACCAUACGCGGGAUUAGUCCGAGUGACUAUUGAAACCCAUGGGUUGUGGGUAAAGAGUACACCCUGUGCAGAGACAAAUCUAUUCGAGUAGCCAUGUCCACGGUCAAGGUCGACUAGUUGACUAGUCAAGUGUCGGCCUGAGUGUCGGUCUUCGGAGGAAGUUAAAGAAAUCGUGAUUCUAAUCUGGAAACGUGGUGGAUGACCAUAUUAUUAUUAUUAUUAUUAUUAUUACUCUGGACUAACCCCUAUGAUUUUGUUUGUUGAAUAUCCCUGGGAUGAUUCUACCUCCUAGAUAUUCUUCCCUUAUUAUUAUUUUAUAUAAGCCAUUUCCGUGGUUUUGCUCAGACGCCCAACUGAGGCAUGCGUAUUAUUAUUUCUUAUAAGCCUUUUCUGUGGUGUCGCUCAGACGCCCGACUAAGGCAUGCUUAUUAUUAUUUCUUAUAAGCCCUUUCUGUGGUGUCGCUCAAACGCCCGACUGCAGCACACAUAUUAUGACUUAUUCCUUAUUACCUUCCUUGCUUGUUUAUACAACAUUGAUGGAAAAUCAUGUAUCCGCAUGAUUGCAUCCAUGAAUUAAAAUCUAAUGGCAUGAUAGAGUUAUUAGUGGAAUUUGCAUGCAUCUCACCUGCUUUAACUUAUUUGUUUUCUUGUUGUUCGCAAGUACAUUCAAAGUACUCACUGGCAUGUCCCUGGCUAUUAUCUUGGCCAGAUUGCAUUCGGAGAGGAGCACGAUGCCGUCAACCCCGGAACCUAGGAGUCAAGGAUAACAACUUUGUGAGAUAGGAAUUUAUCCAAGUCAGCUGUUCCUGUGGGAACGGAGUCUCAUGGACACUGGAGAUUCCUCGAGUCUCUUCCGCCAUCAACCUUAGACUUUUGUUCAACCUAUUAGACCUUUAUGGUCUUGUAACCCAGAUUUUGUAUUUUUCUUGGAUAUUCUGUAUCAAGUAAGUGUCUACCAGCUAACAACAAUCCUGGGGUUGGUAAACACACAAACCUCUUUUCUGGAAAUUAUUUUCUGAAAAAGACGUUGCUACAACCUUGGUAUUAGAGCCAGGCUGACCAUUGGCUAAACCUAUCUUAGUCGGGUCGCUAUCCUUACC